rnacentral:rRNA from 1 species
CGGCGUGCCUCAGACAUGCAAGUCGAACGCGAAAGGGACCUUCGGGUCUCAAGUAGAGUGGCGCCCGGGUGAGUAACACGUAGGUAAUCUACCUUCGGGUGGGGAAUAACGCAGGGAAACUUGCGCUAAUACCGCAUAAUGCAGCGGCACCACAUGGUGACAGUUGUUAAAGCGGGGGAUUUUCGGACCUCGCGCCUGAAGAGGAGCCUGCGGCAGAUUAGCUAGUUGGUAAGGUAACGGCUUACCAAGGCGACGAUCUGUAGCCGGCCUGAGAGGGCGGUCGGCCACACUGACACUGACAUACGGGUCAGACUCCUACGGGAGGCAGCAGUCGGGAAUUUUGGGCAAUGGGCGAAAGCCUGACCCAGCAACGCCGCGUGAAGGAUGAAAUCCCUCGGGAUGUAAACUUCGCAAGAAUGGGAAGAAUGAACGAGUGCUAACACCGUUCGUGAUGACGGUACCAUUUGUAAGCUCCGGCUAACUCCGUGCCAGCAGCCGCGGUAAUACGGGGGGAGCAAGCGUUGUUCGGAUUUACUGGGCGUAAAGGGCGCGUAGGCGGCCAGCGCAAGUCAGUUGUGAA